UACAGAGUUAGCCGAUGCUUAUUCCUCAGAUACCGUCAUCGUUUCUUCUCCGAGAAAAGAAGUUGACGACCCGUAGGCCUUCCACCUCCACGCGGCAUUGCUCCGUCAGGCUUUCGCCCAUUGCGGAAAAUUCCCCACUGCUGCCUCCCGUAGGAGUCUGGGCCGUGUCUCAGUCCCAGUGUGGCUGAUCAUCCUCUCGGACCAGCUACUGAUCAUCGCCUUGGUAAGCUAUUACCUCACCAACUAGCUAAUCAGACGCGACGCCCCUCCGUUGGGCGGUAUUUCUCCUUUUGCUCCUCACGCCGUACGGGGUAUUACGCUAACCGUUUCCAGUUUCGUUCGUUCCCCUCCGAAGGGCUAGGUUCUUACGUCGUUACUCCACCCGUUCGCCACUACGGAAACCUACCUACUUCCCGUUCGACUUGCUAUGUAGUUAACGCUAGUCGCCGCC
rnacentral:rRNA from 1 species